rnacentral:rRNA from 1 species
CCUACGGGGGGCAGCAGUGAGGAAUAUUGGUCAAUGGUCGGGAGACUGAACCAGCCAAGCCGCGUGAGGGAGGAAUGUACAGAGGAUCGUAAACCUCUUUUGUCAGGGAACAAAGACUGGGACGCGUCCCCGGAUGAGUGUACCUGAAGAAAAAGCAUCGGCUAACUCCGUGCCAGCAGCCGCGGUAAUACGGAGGAUGCGAGCGUUAUCCGGAUUUAUUGGGUUUAAAGGGUGCGGAGGCGGGCUGUUAAGUCAGCUGUCAAAGCCCGGGGCUCAACCCCCGGCCGGCGGUUGAAACUGGCAGUCGCGAGUUGGAGAGAAGUAUGCGGAAUGCGCGGUGUAGCGGUGAAAUGCAUAGAUAUCGCGCAGAACUCCGAUUGCGAAGGCAGCAUGCCGGCUCCACACUGACGCUGAGGCACGAAAGCGUGGGUAUCGAACAGGAUUAGAUACCCCAGUAGUC